rnacentral:rRNA from 1 species
AGAGUUUGAUCCUGGCUCAGGACGAACGCUGGCGGCGUGCCUAAUACAUGCAAGUCGAGCGCGGGAAGCGAACGGAACUCUUCGGAGGGAAGUUCGUGGAACGAGCGGCGGACGGGUGAGUAACACGUAGGCAACCUGCCUGUAAGACUGGGAUAACUCGCGGAAACGCGAGCUAAUACCGGAUAACACUUUCUAUCACCUGAUGGAAAGUUGAAAGGCGGCUUUUGCUGUCACUUACAGAUGGGCCUGCGGCGCAUUAGCUAGUUGGUGAGGUAACGGCUCACCAAGGCGACGAUGCGUAGCCGACCUGAGAGGGUGAUCGGCCACACUGGGACUGAGACACGGCCCAGACUCCUACGGGAGGCAGCAGUAGGGAAUCUUCCGCAAUGGACGAAAGUCUGACGGAGCAACGCCGCGUGAGUGAUGAAGGUUUUCGGAUCGUAAAACUCUGUUGUCAGGGAAGAACAAGUACGAUAGUAACUGAUCGUACCUUGACGGUACCUGACCAGAAAGCCACGGCUAACUACGUGCCAGCAGCCGCGGUAAUACGUAGGUGGCAAGCGUUGUCCGGAAUUAUUGGGCGUAAAGCGCUCGCAGGCGGUUCUUUAAGUCUGAUGUGAAAUCUUGCGGCUCAACCGCAAACGUGCAUUGGAAACUGGAGGACUUGAGUGCAGAAGAGGAGAGUGGAAUUCCACGUGUAGCGGUGAAAUGCGUAGAGAUGUGGAGGAACACCAGUGGCGAAGGCGACUCUCUGGUCUGUAACUGACGCUGAGGAGCGAAAGCGUGGGGAGCGAACAGGAUUAGAUACCCUGGUAGUCCACGCCGUAACGAUGAGUGCUAGGUGUUAGGGGGUUUCCGCCCCUUAGUGCUGAAGUUAACGCAUUAAGCACUCCGCCUGGGGGAGUACGCGCAGGCUGAAACUCAAGGAUGACG